AAAACUUUAAGUUAAUAAUAAACUAAGAGCCUUCAAAGCUUUAAAUAAGACAAAGUCUUAAGUUUUA
rnacentral:tRNA from 1 species